UGUGAGGGGGUCGCUAUGGAUGCGCAUCUCUUGUUUUCUGCAGAAGUAAGUGCACCUCUGUUUAACUCGUAGUCACUUGGAGAAUAAUUAGAGACCUUCUGGAGAUACUUUGGUCCUGGAUAAAUAUUUAGGGUCGCUUUUCUGACCUUAAAUCUAACUCCUGACCCGACUGUGGUUCUUUCUGAAUUGAUCAGAAAGCGUGGUGGGGAUUCGGGUCUCUGCUUGCGGUGAAGCAGAAGGAAUUUAAGCUGUAAUAGAUGUGAGAAGACAUAUAGCAGGCUGCUGAUUAUGGCAUUUCGAGAUCGAGACGAGGGGGUGGGCAGGACAGGAACUUGUCUCCCUGAUCCCUGACACCCAGGUGCUGUGGAAGAGAUCCCGGGGGGAAGUGCCGCGGGAACUGCAGCUGCCAGCCCUAGGCACGGCACCCGGGAACCCCCUCCGCGGGCGGGAGCGAGAGCGUCUGUGCGCGAGCGGCGGGCGGCGGCGGGAGGAGGCGCAGGCGCGCUGCUUGCGGGUCUGCAGCCCGGUGCCGAGCGCCGCGUCUCGGGGAGUUGAUGGCAGCACCACAGUGCGGCCGCCCAGCGGAGCGCGGAGCGCAGCCACCCGCGGUCGUCCAGGGAGCGUCCAAGAUGUGGAGGGAUCCGGGCGGCAGCGGCCGCAGCAGCGCCAGGGUCGAGGGCGCGCAGCAGCCUUCCCUCGCCCGCCUGUGCUGACCUGCCUCGUUUGGCCCCAAAGAAUGUCAGCCAAGUCCAAGGGGACCCCCUCCUUGUCCUCUCCUGCCGAGGGACCGCCGGCAGCCUCCAAAACCCAGGUGAAGGAGCAGAUCAAGAUCAUCGUGGAGGAUCUGGAAUUAGUCCUGGGCGAUCUGAAGGACGUGGCCAAGGAACUUAAGGAGGUGGUUGACCAGAUUGACACCUUGACCUCUGACCUACAGCUGGAGGAUGAGAUGACCGACAGCUCCAAAACAGACACCCUGAAUAGUAGCUCCAGCGGCACAACAGCCUCCAGCAUAGAGAAGAUCAAAGUGCAGGCCAAUGCGCCUCUCAUUAAGCCGCCGGCACACCCGUCUGCCAUCCUCACCGUCCUGAGAAAGCCAAACCCUCCGCCACCUCCUCCACGGUUGACUCCUGUGAAGUGUGAAGACCCCCAAAGGGUGGUGCCAACUGUCAAUCCUGUAAAGACCAAUGGCACCCUUUUACGAAACGGAGGCGUACCAGGGGCACCAAACAAAAUUCCAAAUGGAGACAUCUGCUGCAUACCCAGUAGUAAUUUAGACAAGGCUCCAGUGCAGCCUCCGAUGCAUAGACCUGAAAAAGGCCGGUGUCCCCAGGCAGGACCUCGGGAACGCGUGCGGUUUAAUGAAAAAGUGCAGUACCAUGGCUAUUGUCCUGACUGUGACCCCCGGUAUCACAUAAAAAACCGGGAGGUCCAUUUACACAGCGAACCUGUCCACCCCCCAGGAAAGCUUCCUCGCCAAGGCCCUCCCCUCCCUCCGCCUCCCCACCUGCCCCCAUUUCCACUCGAAAAUGGGGGACUGGGAAUAAGCCACAGUAACAGCUUUCCCCCUCUCAGACCUGCAACUGUGCCUCCGCCCACUGCACCAAAACCACAGAAGACGAUUUUGAGGAAAUCGACCACUACGACAGUGUGAUGUAUGCCAUUUAAAAACACUUUCUGUUUUAUUUUGAUUUUUAUAUUAUAAACAUAAAAUAAUAAGUAAUGAGCACUUUCUACUCAAGCAAUAAAAAGCCCAAAUAUAUUAAUCCUGCAUUCAGCAAAGUGACAUAAAAAUCACCUGAUGCUUUGGCCCCUGCCAGCCUCUCCAGAAACAACUAUAUUUUCUCCCUUCAAUAUUAUGCUACAGACUAUUGAAGCUCCUUCAGGUCUUUAUUUGGAGGCAUGUCAGCUCAUUUUUCUCACUUCAGAUUCAUCAUUAUGACUUCUUGAGGCCAGAUCUAAUUUUGAAAUAACCAGGAACCUGUCCAUCUCAGAGCAGCAAAUCCCUCAACUUUGGAGCACAAAUGAUCACAGAUACGGUCUGCAUAAAAUCAUCUGCCUCUAGUCUGACAGCCAUGAGCAGAGCCAUAGGGAAAAAAAAAAAAAAGCCACAGCCUUAAAUCUCUUCGCUCAGAAAUUAUCAAGAAGAUUAAAUAAAUAAAAAAAAGAAGAAAAAAAAUAGAUGAAAAGGACUAAACAAGCAAGCCAACAACAACAAAACAUUUUAUUUCACCAUGAAAAUAGAUAUUCCCAGAUGUGAACCCACAAAAAUUUAUAUUCAGCAAUUACCCUAGUAAAUUGUACAUUGAUUUAUCAUUUGGGAAGGUGAAAGUACAGAGAUAGGAGGUAUCUCUAGUCAGAAUUACUCACCAUUGCAAAUACGUAGACAAAACGAUACUGAACGAACAAGGAGCAUUGCAGCAAUGAACAGUAUUAAGACAGAAUGUUGCUGUUAGAGAGAGAGGAUGUUUGCCAUCUUGUGUAUACCCUUAAAGCCAUAAUGGAAUGACAGCAUUGUUGUCAAUUGCUUGAAAACUUUCUGCAUUCACUCCUUCACUUCAUAUUGGUUGAGAGAGGGGAAAGGUCAGUUCUUACUGAUUACUUCUCAAUGCACUUCUAAUAUUUGCACUGUCACUUCCAUUCAGGGUAAUGAUGUGUGCUAUUAUUUGCACAGAUGGUCCCAUGCGUUUUGAGACCACAACAAGCAGUUUCUUGCAAGAGUCCAAAAAGGAAAUAUUUAAGAAUUCUGCAGACAUUGAUUUUGCUUCUAUAAAAAUCAGUUAUCUAAAAAAAAAGGUCUUGUCUCAGAUUCAGAAACAACUACAGAAUAAUAAUGAAAAAGCAUUAGUGUGGUCAAAUGAAUGAAAAAGGGAUCAAGAUUUUUUUUUUUAAAUGAAGGUCAUUUUAUAUCAUUAACAGCCAACAAGUCAAAUACAGUGAACUGUACACUAAACAUUUGUGUUGAACAUCUAUUUGUUCUCUUAAUUAAAAAAAAAUCAUUUGUAAUUUGUAUUUGACAUAUAACAGUUUUUUAUAGCCAUUUAUCUAUGCUUCAUGGGAAA